rnacentral:rRNA from 1 species
GUGAGUAGUUCAGAGUUUGAUCCUGGCUCAGGACGAACGCUGGCGGCGUGCCUAACACAUGCAAGUCGAACGGAGUUGUUCCUUCGGGACGACUUAGUGGCGAACGGGUGAGUAACGCGUGAGAAACCUGCCUUUCAGUGGGGGACAACAGUUGGAAACGACUGCUAAUACCGCAUAAUGUUAUUUGGGGGCAUCCCUGAAUAACCAAAGAUUUAUUGCUGAAAGAUGGUCUCGCGUCUGAUUAGCUAGUUGGUGAGGUAACGGCUCACCAAGGCGACGAUCAGUAGCCGGUCUGAGAGGAUGAACGGCCACAUUGGGACUGAGAUACGGCCCAG